ACCAAACAACUAAAUUUGUAAGAAAAACUAAAUUGCAAAUUUCAAAUGCAAAAAAGUGAAAUAUGAAAUAACUGUGAAAAGGAAAAUUCUUUAUGUAGUAAAUUGAAAAAAUAAUUUUCGAUUUCGAAAAGACAAAAUUUCGAUGAGGCGAAAUUGUUUUGAAAAAAAUAAUGCCGAAGAAUAAGGAAAAUCAUGCAUUACUGCAGUAUACGGCUGCGUUCACAGCCUCCAUCACCGCAAUUGGAUUUGUCUGCGGCUACUCUUGGCCAUCACCAGCUCUACCCUAUUUAUUAAGCAAAUCAUCAAUAAUUCCCAUAACAAAAAAUCAAAGUGCCUGGAUUGCCUCUCUCUAUCCUCUCGGCCUAAUAAUCGGCUACCUUCUAAAUCCCCUAUUUGUCGAUCGAAUCGGACGUAAACGAACCCUCCUCCUCUUCUCUCUACCACAAGUCGCCUCAUGGCUUCUAAUAAUAUUCGCCAAAAACACACUAAAUCUCUACAUAGCAAGAGUAAUCGGCGGAAUUGGUUACGGUGCCGGAAUAUCAUCAUCAACCGUCUACAUCUCCGAAAUCGGCAACGUCAAAAAUCGUGGCAUAUUUCUCGUCCUUCUAAAAUGCAUGAUGAACUUAGGUUUCCUCUUCACCAUGAUUUUAGGAGCAUUUUUAAACUAUCAAAACAUGAAUCUCGUCCUACUAACAAUGCCGAUAAUUUUUGUCCUUGCAUUCAGCUUUCUACCAGAUUCAUCCUACUUUCGUGAUAUCAAUCGUAGAAAAGAGGAGCAGGAAAAGAGAGACAACGCGACUGUUAAAUUGAAACUUUUACGCGAGGAGGAGGAAAAUAUCGAUAGAAUUAAAUUUGAUACUUUUAUCGUUAAGACAAAAGUUGACCACAUUCGAAAAGAGGACAACGAAGGAAACGUUGUGGCCAAUGCAAAUGGUGACAAUUUAUCAUCUACCGGACAAAAUAGAGAACAAACCACUGGAGGUACUUUCGAACUACGAGGAGUAAAAACCGAAAUAGAAACCACCAAAGGUACUUUUGAACCUAGAGAAGUAAAAAACGCAGAUGGUACAUUUGAACCUAGAGGAGUAACAACAACGGAAGAUACUUUUGAACCACGAGAUGUAAAAACCGUGAAACAAACCACCAAAAGUACUUUUGAAACAAAAGUAGUAAAAACUGAGAAACAAGCAAAAAAAUCCACUCUAAGAAACAACAUUUUUUGCAAAUUGUACUCAGAACAAAAUUACCGUCGAGCAUUGGAAAUAAUGCUGACAAUGGGCCUGACCAACAUUCUUUCUGGCCACGCUGGAAUAACAACAUUCACACAACAAAUUUUCACGUACGAAGGAGCAUUUCUGGCACCUGAGAAAGCGUCAGUGGCACUUGCACUGAUAACCCUGAUUAUUUCCCUCCUGAGUACAAUAAUUGUCGAGAGAAUAAGAAGAAAAUUUUUAAUCGCCUCAACGGGUGUAAUUGCAACAAUUGCCCUUCUUUUUGUUGGUGUUUUCUUCUACUGCCAAGAGUCAAAAAUGAAUGUCGAUGUAUUUAAAUGGGUACCACUGGUUGGUAUCACAACUUAUGAUGUUAUGCUCUCGUGUGGAAUGGGUAAUGUUUUUUAUGUUUAUCAGGGUGAAUUGUUUGCGCACGAAGUGAAAAGUGAAUCGAUUGCAUUCAAUAAAAUAAGUUAUAUGACAUUGAGUUUUUUGUUUUUGUUACAAUUUCAAAAUUUUAUCGAUGCAGUGGGUACGUAUUGGGCAUUUUUUUCAUUUGCAUUUGGUAUUUUCUUUGGUACGUUUAGUGUUUAUAUUCUUACACCGGAAACAAAGGGGGUUAAUCUUGAUGAUAUUCAAGUUUUAUUGAAGUCGAAGAAAUUUUUUUAUUGAUUUUUUUUUAAUUUUUAGGAGAAAGAAGAAGGCAAAAAAGAGUCUUAAAAAAGCCAAAAGGGACCGUCCAUAAAAUACGUAAGGCAUUUUUCUUAAAUUUUGACCCAUGCACCCACGUCUGUAAGGCUCCGUAAGAUUUUGAACCACCCACCCCACCCCCUAUCUUACGUAAGUUUUUGCUUAGGUAUUUAUUACGAGAAUUUACUAGUAGCAUUGCAAAAAAUUGUUUAACUAAUAAAAUGAAUUAAUAAACAAAUGUUUGGUGUUUAGUGUAUAGUUCUGUAUUUCUUAGAAUAUACUUAAUUUAUAUAAAAUUUAUUAAACAUAUUUUACUUUGGUCAAAAUAAUAAAUAUUAAUGUAGAAAUUUAGCUUAAUAUUAACAUCUUUGGCAUUGGGACGCGUCGCGUCUUCGUUGCGUUUUGGCUCAUUCUGGAACGACCCUAUCAUAGCUUGACAAUUUCCGAAAUUUAUAGAGUAGUGUAAGAAAAUAUAUCUUACGUAAGAAAUUCGUUUAACCAGGUACCCACCCAUGUAAGUUAACAUAGAAAAAUUGUCCACCCCCCCCCCCACCCAAAUGACCUUACGUAAUUUAUGGACGGCCCCAAAACAAAGACAACAAAAAAGAAAAAAACGCAAAAAAUAGUAAAACAUGAAUUUUAAAAAAUAGAAAAAAAAGGUUUAUAAAAAAAUGUUUUGACUUAAAUUGUAUAGAAAUUAUAGAUGAAAUUAAAUUCUUUUAAUAAAAAAUAUAUUUUUACAAUAGAAACUAAAAUAUUCAAUCUACUUCAAAAUAGAAAAUAAUUCAAAUUAAUACAGAAUCAUUCGAAUAUGAUGUCAGUUUUUAAAAAUUCAAAAUCGCGGAUCCAAUAUUAGAAAACGCCAUAUUGGAUCCACCAUUUUAAAUUUUUAAAAUCUGACUAGAGUGCAGACACUGCAUAUCUAUAGUUUAACUAAUUUUUUAUUUAUUCAUAACAAAAAAAUUUUUUUAUUGAAGAAAUUGUUUUUAUUUAACAUAAAUAACGUAGAUCUGAAACUCUGAAACGAAAUUUUAAUAUUUAUGUGAAUAAAAUGAAAAAAUCUGUAGUCGUGGAUAUCCGUAUUAACACAAGGGUUAAUGGUUAUAAAUGUAAUUUGACAGAAUGUUUACUUUAACAAAUAUUAAUUGCAAAUAAUGUUUUUAUACUCCAAUAAACACUUUUUUUAAGGUUAAAAAAUCAUGAUUUUGAUCUAAAAACAUUGAUUAUCGCUUAUUUUUACUAUAAUUAACGUUUUCACCACACGCUUUCAAACUAAUAACCUCCAAAUUUCAGACACUAUAAUUAUUAAAUAAGGUCGAGAAAUUUUAUUAAAAUUAUAUUCAAAACAAUUGAAUUCCUGCGAAAAAUGUCUGUACAAAGAAUAAUAAAUCAGUUUCAAAAAUUUUGUUUCUUAAUAUAUGAUUUUUAUAAAUACUAUAGGUUUACGUUCAGAUAAAUUAAAUUUGAGCCAAGAAGAUUUGAGCUUAAAUGAAUAAGAUGAAUUACAGAAUUCAGAGGAUUAAAAAUUUUGACGAUUUAAUUUUAGAGUUAAUUAAGAUUUUAAUCGAUCAAACGUUUAAUUAACAUUGAAUUAUUUGCUAUAGAAAAAGAAAAUUUUGUAAAUUCUCUACUCGAGGCAAGAAUUUAAUGGAAUUAUUUUCUAUUAAAAAAAAUUCAAUUAAUUUUUCUUAGAGAGACGUGAAUGGAAUUGAGUCUAAUCGAAUUUAAUUUUUUUUAUAAUAAAUGUUUAAUUAAUUUUUCUCUAGAGGUAUGAAGUGGAUUAAUUUGAAUUAUUUAACUAUAAAAAAAAGAACAAUUAUUUUUCCUUUGAGCGAU